rnacentral:lncRNA from 1 species
CACGCUGAAAUGUCUCGCCUUCUUUACUAAUCAUUGAUAUUAUGUUGAUAGUCCUAAGUAUAAAGCUAAGCUUUAUUACAACUAUCACACAAACAGAACAUUAACCAAGAUAACUAAACAUAGACCAAUGAACCUUGAAAAUGAGGUCAAGGUCAGAUGAACCAUGCCAGGCAGACAUGUACAGCUAACAAUGCUUCUCUACAACAUAUAUAGUUGACCUAUUACUUAUAGUUUAAGAAAAAUAGACCAAAACACAAAAACUUAACACUGUGCAAUGAACCGUGAAAAUGAGGUCACGGUCAAAUAAAACCUGCGCGACUGACAUAAAGAUCAUAAAAUAUUUCCAUUCACCAAAUAUAGUUGACCUAUGGCAUAUAGAAUUAGAUAAAAAGACCAAAACUCAAAAACUUAACUUUGACCACUGAACCAUGAAAAUGAGGUCAAGGUCACAUGACAUAUGCCCGCUAGACAUGUACACCUUACAAUCAUUCUAUACAACAAAUAUAGUAGACCUAUUGCAUAUAGUAUGAGAAAAACAGACCAAAACACAAAAAUUUAACUAUAACCACUGAACCAUGAAAAUGAGGUCAAGGUCAGAUGACACCUGCCAGUUGGACAUGUACACCUUACAGUCCUUCCAUACACUGAAUAUACUAGCCCUAUUGCUUAUAGUAUCUGAGAUAUGGACUUGACCACCAAAACUUAACCUUGUUCACUGAUCCAUGAAAUUAGGUCGAGGUCAAGUGAAAACUGUCUGACAGACAUGAAGACCUUGCAAGGUACGCACAUAUCAAAUACAGUUAUCCUAUUACUUAUAAUAA